GAUGAACGCUAGCGGCAGGCUUAAUACAUGCAAGUCGAGGGACAGCACAGGCAGCAAUACUGGGUGGUAACCGGCAAACGGGUGCGGUACACGUACAGAACUUUCCUUUAAGUGGGGGAUAGCCCAGAGAAAUUUGGAUUAAUACCCUGUAAUAUAGUUGAUUGGCAUCAUUUGAUGAUUAUAGCUACGGCGCUCUAUGAUGUGUGCUCGUCUGAUUAGAUAGUUGUCGGUGUGACGGCCCACCAAGUCCACGAUCAGUAGCUGAUGUGUGAGCAUGAGCAGCCAGACGGGCACUGCGACGCGGGCCCGACUCCUACGGGAGGCAGCAGUAAGGAAUCUGGAUCAAUGGACGCAAGUCUGAACCAGCCAUGCCGCGUGAAGGAUUAAGGUCCUCUGGAUUGUAAACUUCUUUUCUUUGGGACGAAAAAGGGCCUUUCUAGGUCAACUGACGGUACCAGAUGAAUAAGCACCGGCUAACUCCGUGCCAGCCGCCGCCGUAACAC
rnacentral:rRNA from 1 species